ensembl:lncRNA
AAUGUACAGUCAGGUGACUAGGCUACAUGUCAAGCUAAUUUAGUGUUUUCUUCAAUUCCACAGAAUGUUGGUGCUGGAAGGAAUCAAAUGAUAAUGUAGCCCAAUCAAAUGAUAAUGUAUCCCUCAACUCAUAUCAGCCUUGGUUUUAUAGUUAAGUAGUAAGAACAAAACCGUUUUUAAAUCUCCCUGUUAGGUUAAAUGCAGAACCAGGAGUUUCAAAUUUAGCUUUAGAGUGUGAACUAAACCAAAUAAAUUGGGUUUAUGUUGAAGCUAUUUAUUCUAGCAACUUCUAAAGCAAAGAGAUUCACUUAUUAAAAAAUAACUCCUCAGUCUCCAGUUGAAUACACAUGGUGAAAGUUGGUAAGUAAACAUUUUGAUUUCUUGCUUUGUUACAGUACAGUCUUGUCAGUAAACAGUGUGCCAACCUGUGCUGGGGAACUCAUAUUAUGCUUAGACACAUGUAGUGUUUCACAAGUGCUGCUACUUUCCUUGUCAAAUUUGUUUUAAACAGGAUCGCCGAAGCUCUGAAAAUCUUCAUUAAGCAUGUGUUGAAAUAGAAUUCAAUAUAUGGAAUAAGAAAUAUCUAAGGAAAAUACUCUGAGUUACAUACAUACAUAUAUACUCUUUUCCCCAUUUUUUUGGAAGUCAACAUUAACCAGUGAAAAAUUAUUUUUAAUUGCAUCAGAAUCAUAAACAUUAGCACCUCCAUGUCCCAAGAGAAUCAGGCAGGGUUGUUGAUUUUCAGAUUGUGAUACAUCUUCAGCACUAACAUUGCAGCUAUUCCUUGGUAAAGUGGGAAAUAAAUACACCUCAGUUCAGUUUACAUUUUUAAGUGAACGUGUGAUGUUCUUAUGCACACGAUGCAGAGUGUAACAUUCCUCUCUAUUUUUUUUUUUUUUUUUAUUGAUACAGUUUAGAAUGAUUACGGGUUGUCAUUCAGUGACAAAGGGGCCUGUUCCAGGAAAUCUUCCUGACCCAAAAGCCAUUUUGAAUUCUGCAAGGGACAUUUGGUGUGAACAAAAGAAAGAGAGUGGGAGAUUGUUCUAAUCUCUUUUAAGAGCUCAUCAAUAAUGCACCAGAUCAAAAUUUAGAACAGGCUGUGUAACGAUUGGCAUAUGGGGGAUGAAGAAAAUUAAUUUGAUACAAGAGAACAACCAGACAACUUUCCCUCAAUAAUCCUUCUACUUCUGUGAAGGGAAGAUUUGGAAGGUGGUGAGAAG